rnacentral:rRNA from 2 species
UUGUCUCAAAGAUUAAGCCAUGCAUGUCUCAGUACAAGCCGAAUUAAGGUGAAACCGCGAAAGGCUCAUUAAAUCAGUUAUGGUUCCUUAGAUCGUACCCACAUUUACUUGGAUAACUGUGGUAAUUCUAGAGCUAAUACAUGCAAACAGAGCCCCAACCGGAAACGGAAGGGGCGCUUUUAUUAGAUCAAAACCAAUCGGUGGCGGUUUCCGUCAUCGUACAACUUGGUGACUCUGAAUAACUUUACGCUGAUCGCACGGUCUCGCACCGGCGACGCAUCUUUCAAAUGUCUGCCUUAUCAACUGUCGAUGGUAGGUUCUGCGCCUACCAUGGUUGUAACGGGUAACGGGGAAUCAGGGUUCGAUUCCGGAGAGGGAGCCUGAGAAACGGCUACCACAUCCAAGGAAGGCAGCAGGCGCGCAAAUUACCCACUCCCGGCACGGGGAGGUAGUGACGAAAAAUAACGAUACGGGACUCAUCCGAGGCCCCGUAAUCGGAAUGAGUACACUCUAAACCCUUUAACGAGGAUCAAUUGGAGGGCAAGUCUGGUGCCAGCAGCCGCGGUAAUUCCAGCUCCAAUAGCGUAUAUUAAAGUUGUUGCGGUUAAAAAGCUCGUAGUCGAAUCUGUGUCCCGCGCCGCCGGUUCAUCGUUCGCGGUGUUAACUGGCGUGCCGCGGGACGUCCUGCCGGUGGGCUUAGCUCGAGAGGGCGGCCCAACUCAAUCCCGCCGCGGUGCUCUUCAUUGAGUGUCGAGGUGGGCCGGCACGUUUACUUUGAACAAAUUAGAGUGCUUAAAGCAGGCUAAAACUUCGCCUGAAUACUGUGUGCAUGGAAUAAUGGAAUAGGACCUCGGUUCUAUUUUGUUGGUUUUCGGAACCCCGAGGUAAUGAUUAAUAGGAACGGAUGGGGGCAUUCGUAUUGCGACGUUAGAGGUGAAAUUCUUGGAUCGUCGCAAGACGGACAGAAGCGAAAGCAUUUGCCAAAAACGCUUUCAUUGAUCAAGAACGAAAGUUAGAGGUUCGAAGGCGAUCAGAUACCGCCCUAGUUCUAACCAUAAACGAUGCCAGCUAGCGAUCCGCCGACGUUCCUCCGAUGACUCGGCGGGCAGCUUCCGGGAAACCAAAGCUUUUGGGUUCCGGGGGAAGUAUGGUUGCAAAGCUGAAACUUAAAGGAAUUGACGGAAGGGCACCACCAGGAGUGGAGCCUGCGGCUUAAUU